AAUUUAUAAAUCUCUCAUUUCUUGUUUAGCCGUUCAUAAAAAUAGUUAAAUUUUCAGGUUUAUUCUUACAAUAACAUAUUUGUAUUUGAAAACAAGCCUCAAAAUGUAUAACUUGACCGAUUGUUCAGCAUUAAGGAUCGUUUCUGGCAGUAAAUCCUACUCGAACAAGGUGAUCCUAGACGGAGUGGACAUCACGGUGGAAAAAGGAAUAAUCUACGCACUUCUUGGACCGAGUGGAUGUGGAAAGACUCUACCAUCAGACAAAUCAGAAAGAACCACUCUACUUUCAUGCCAUAGAUCGGAGUACUCCGGCCUCCGGAGGCCGGAGUACGCAGCUUUUUCUGGAGGCCGGAGUACGCGGAGGCCGGAGUACACGUGGCCAGCCGGAGGCCGGAGUACACAUGGCCGGCCGGAGGCCGGAGUACGGAGGCCGGAGUACGCAAAAUUUCCGAUCGCAUAGAUAGGAGAAUUCCGGUCUUGGAGUACGUACUCCGGCCUCCGGAGGCCGGAGUACGCGACUUUUUCUGGAGGCCGGAGUACGCGGAGGCCGGAGUACGCGUGGCCAGCCGGAGGCCGGAGUACGCGGAGGCCGGAGUACGCAUUGCCGGCCGGAGGCCGGAGUACGCGGAGGCCGGAGUACGCAAAAUAUCCGAUCUAUGUUUCAUGCAUCAUGGGAAUUCAGCAGUUGAAUGGAGGAAAAAUUGAAUUAUUUGGAAAGGAUUUGUCCACCUUUCGAAAUGGGAUGCCUGGCCGUCUAAUCGGUUAUAUGCCACAGGAAACUUGUCUGUAUGAGUCUUUUACAAUUUUGGAGACCUUCAUCUACUACGGAAGACUUUAUUGUAUGCCGUCAGAUAAGAUUGUAUGCAACCUGGCAACUUUAAAAACUGUCAUGAAUCUACCAAGUUUGAACAGCAACGUGAAUAAUAUCAGCGGUGGGGAGAGGCGUCGUGUCUCCCUCGGCGUGGCCUUACUACAUGACCCCCAAAUUCUUAUCUUAGACGAACCCUGCGUUGGAAUUGAUCGAGUUUUACGUCAAGGAAUCUGGGAUUACUUGGAACGUCUUGUUAAAUCUAAAGGAACAACGGUUUUCCUCACGACGCACUAUGUACAAGAAACAAGACAAUGUGCAAAGAUUGGAUACCUUCGAGAUGGCCGAAUGCUGGUGCAAGAAUCUCCGAAUGCAUUGCUAGAAAAAUAUGGUCCUAACUCCGAGUUGAACGCCAACGCACUCGACGACAUAAUGCUACACUUUUGCAAAACGCAAGUUUCUCCAACACGCAACAUUAUAACACAUUGUCGUCCUAAACUUUCAAAAAUGGAGAAUGCAUUGAACCAAAAGGUGCAAUUACUAAAAGUUGGAGUUGUCGAAGCCCUCUCGAAUGUAGAACCAUUUGAAGAAACUCUGCAGUCUAAAGUUUCAAAUCUUUGUGAACACUCGAAGAACUACUAUUCUCAACUGAAGGCACUCACAAUCUGGAAUUUGAUUGUGUACAUAAGAUACCCAUUACUGCCUCUGAGCCAACUAGUGUGCUUCCUCGUGAACAUUUACCUGAUCUUAUAUACGGUUGGAAAUGAUCCAAUUGGCCUUAACUUGGGGACAAUAACUGACCGACCUUGUGACAAGAUGAGUGACCAGUCACUAGCCACGAAAGAUUAUGCCUGUCAAUAUUUAAACAUCCUGGAAAAAUCACAGAUUAAUGUGGUACCCAUGGACUCUGAAUUCGAUGCAUUACAAGCCAUUAAAAUGGGGAGUAUCAAGGGGUAUUUAAAAUUCCCUGAAAAUUUUACACAAAACGUACUAAAACGGUUAGUCUGGAAUGUUCAUGCCGAUGAAGAAAUUGUAAAUGGAUCAGCUAUUUUGAUUCAAUUGGAUAAUUCAGAAUACAUGAACUCCUACUUUGUUACGAAGUCAUUGUAUGAAUCCAUGCAAAAGUUAAUGAAAGAAAUUGCAACGGAGUAUGGGAUUGACGAACGAAAGGUCACAAUACCAUUGUCGUUUCACACCGUCUAUGGCAAUCUGUCCGACACUUGGAACACAUUUUUCGUACCAAUGUUACUACUCAUAAUGUGGAUGCUCCUGUCAGCAACGAUGGGAUUUCUGCACGUGACAGACACAUAUGAUGGGACGCUAACCCGCACGAUGGCGACGGGAGUCGAUUUUCACAAAGUUUUACUUUCCUAUUACAUUGCAGACAUUCCGCUAACCAUAAUUCAGGCGGGAUUGUUCAUCUUGUGCGUCUGGUGGGAUCGGGGUGACAAAAUUAAAGGAAGCUGGGCGUUAAUCGGUCUCGUCUUAUAUCUCGUUCGGAUUCCAACUAUCGGGUUUUAUCUUACCCUUGCGGCACUAAAAAUCUCCGUGAAGGAUACAAUUAUGGCGGGGAUUUCUAUAUUGCAGAUUUACCUAUAUGCAUCAGUGAGCGAGGGUGGUAGCGCAAGAGCGAUCAGGAACUGGGGUCGUGGUCCUCGGGGGGAUUAUGCCUCUGGGGGACGGGGGGAAGACACCUCGUACAGGAACCUCCGGGGAUCCCACGAUUCCCUUAAUCAAGUCCUUCUUAAUAUUUAUGGAUGAGGGGAUGAAUUGAUGAUGAUGCUGCUGAGAGAGGGCCGGAUGAUGAUGAUGAGGAAGAGGGCGGAAUCGUCCACUUUUGGGGUGUGGUGGGGGUCGUUCCCGAAGUCCCACGGUGAGAACACCCUUACAGUCGGAUAGGGGACCUCUUCAGCUCUGCUGGGGCCCGUGGUGGGAUCACCACCACAAGAAGGGGGGAUGGGGGAGUGGUUCUCCUGCGACACGUUGGUAGAACACUCCGUGAUGCACAAUAUGGGGCGAGUGCGUAUUAACUGUCCAAGUUUUUGCGUACGUGCACAAUAUGGAGGAAUACAACUUGUGAAGAUUCCAUGACACCCAAUAAUGUUCCUGUUGUGCACAAUUUAUAGUUUCUUUACUAACAACACUAAUUUAUUAAACAGAGAGAGAGAGAGAGAUUGACAAGAAUUAUCUUCCCAGAAACUUUGGGGAAGUUUUGAAGUGAGUCGCAAGUGUGAUGCGUAGUCGAGUCGAGGUGGUGCGGGAGAAGACGGCGUGGAAGCCAGGAUGAGAGCAAUGGCGACGGAGACGCUUGGUUCUCCGGAGUAGUGGUCUGGCCAUGCUCCCGAGACCAAGUAGGGGGAGAGGGAGGGGAUUGAUGAGGAUGGGGUCGCCCAUAGACUCCGUCCUCACAAUUAGUACGACGAUAUGUACUUAUCUAGUAAUGAUACAUUUUGGCCCAUCGAGACUGUCGUGUGGUGGUACCGGUACUUCCGCUUCUGCUUCUGUCUUAACGAUAUGCAUGUAGUAUAUAAAUACUCAUUUAUGUAUUCACAAUUAUGUUAUAUUAAGCUAAUUUCUUACUUGGC